CCUACGGGAGGCAGCAGUGAGGAAUAUUGGUCAAUGGACGGAAGUCUGAACCAGCCAUGCCGCGUGCAGGAAGACGGCUCUAUGAGUUGUAAACUGCUUUUGUACAAGGGGAAACCGGAAUACGUGUAUGCAGCUGAAAGUACUGUACGAAUAAGGAUCGGCUAACUCCGUGCCAGCAGCCGCGGUAAUACGGAGGAUCCAAGAGUUAUCCGGCUUUAUUGGGGUGAAAGGGUGCGUAGGCGGAUUGAUAAGUUCGAGGUGACAUGUCCGUGCUUAACACGGGAACUGCCUCUCAUACUGUUGAUCUAGAGCGUAGCUGCGGUAGGCGGACUGUUUGGUGUAGCGGUGAAAUGCUU
rnacentral:rRNA from 1 species